ACUCCUGCGGGAGGCAGCAGUGGGGAAUAUUGGACAAUGGGCGCAAGCCUGAUCCAGCCAUGCCGCGUGAGUGAUGAAGGCCCUAGGGUUGUAAAGCUCUUUCACCGGUGAAGAUAAUGACGGUAACCGGAGAAGAAGCCCCGGCUAACUUCGUGCCAGCAGCCGCGGUAAUACGAAGGGGGCUAGCGUUGUUCGGAUUUACUGGGCGUAAAGCGCACGUAGGCGGACUAUUAAGUCAGGGGUGAAAUCCCGGGGCUCAACCCCGGAACUGCCUUUGAUACUGGUAGUCUUGAGUUCGAGAGAGGUGAGUGGAAUUCCGAGUGUAGAGGUGAAAUUCGUAGAUAUUCGGAGGAACACCAGUGGCGAAGGCGGCUCACUGGCUCGAUACUGACGCUGAGGUGCGAAAGCGUGGGGAGCAAACAGGAUUAGAAACCCCAGUAGUCCCA
rnacentral:rRNA from 1 species